rnacentral:rRNA from 1 species
CACGUAGGGGGCGAGCGUUGUCCGGAUUUAUUGGGCGUAAAGAGCUCGUAGGCGGUUCGGCAAGUCGGGUGUGAAAUUUCGAGGCUCAACCUCGAAACGCCACUCGAUACUGCUGUGACUGGAGUCCGGUAGAGGAGUGACGGAUUCCUGGUGUAAGCGGUGAAAUGCGCAGAUAUCAGGAGGACACCAAGGCGAAGGCAGCACUCUGG